CGCCCAGGCUCUAAUUUAACUCGCCCGGCGGAACCGUCGGGCGCUGCUGCUACUUACGGCUCCUAGCUGGAGCCGCUUGGACUCGCUCCGGGUCCCCGUCCCCGCGCGCCAUGGGUCCCGCGCGGCGGAGCGUCCCCGCAGCGCUGCGCUUCCUGGGCGGGCUGAGCGUGCCGCUGCUGCUGCUGCUGCUGUGCCCACCCGCCGCGCAGGGUGACUGCAGCUUGCCCCCAGAGGUACCCAAUGCCCACCCAACUCUGAGUGAUCGUGAUCUUAAGAGUUUUCCUGAAGGAACCACAGUAACAUACAAAUGUAAUGAAGGCUUUGUAAAAGUCCCUGGCAAGCCAGACUCCGUGAUCUGUCUCAGUAACAAUCAAUGGUCGGAGGUGGCAGCAUUUUGUAACCGUAGCUGCGAUGUUCCACCCAGGCUACGUUUUGCAUCACUCAAGAGGUCUUUUAGCAAACAGAAUUAUUUCCCUGAGGGUUUCGUUGUGGAAUACGAUUGCCGUCCGGGCUACAGAAGGAACCAAACUCUCUCAGAGAAACUAACUUGCCUUCAGAAUUUUACGUGGUCCACACCAGAUGAAUUUUGCAAAAAAAAAUCCUGUCCUACUCCUGGAGAUAUAGCACAUGGUCAUGUCAGUAUAACAACUGACAUAUCAUAUGGUGCAUCUAUUUCCUUCUCGUGUGACACAGGGUAUAGGCUAGUAGGUGCAACUUCUAGUUAUUGUUCCCUUGUAGACCAGGGUGUGGAGUGGAGUGACCCGUUGCCAAAAUGCGAAGAAAUUGUUUGUCCAGAACCACAAGAAAUUAGCAACGGAACCAUUCAAAAUCCACGGAAAACCUAUGUGUAUCAACAGUCUGUAAAAUAUCAGUGUAAUCAAGGCUUUACCCUGAUCGGAGAGAACUCUAUUUAUUGUACUGUCAAAGAUGACCAAGGAGAAUGGAGUGGCCUGCCCCCUGAAUGCAAAGAAAACGCCCAGAUUUCUAAGGGCAUGCCAGCAGUUCAGAAGCCUUCAAUGGCAAGUGUUCCAAGUACGAAAGUCCCAUCAGCUCCUCAGAAAACCACCACAGUGAAUGUUCCAGGUACUAAAGCCCCAUCACCUCCUCAUAAAGCCACCACAGUGAAUGUUCCAGGUACUGGAGCCCCAUCAACUUCUCAGACACCCACCACCAAUGUUCCAGGUACCAGAGUCCCAUCAGCUCCUCAGAAACCCAUCAUAGAAAAUGUUCCAGGCACUGAAGCCCCAUCAACUCCUCAUAAACCCACCACAGUGAAUGUUCCAGGUACUGGAGCCCCAUCAACUUCUCAGACACCCACCACCACAAAUGUUCCAGGUACCAGAGUCCCAUCAGCUCCUCAGAAACCCACCACCAUAAAUGCUCCAGCUACAAAGGCCCCAUCAAUUCCUCAGAAAUUCAACACAGUAAAUGUUUCAGCUACAGAAGUCCUUUUACCUCCUCAGAAAUCCAACACAACAAAUGCCUCAGCUACAAAGUCCCCCUCAACUCCUCAGAAACCUGACACAAUAAAUACUUCAGCUACAGAAGCCCUACCAACUCCUCAGAAACCCAGCAUAGUAAAUGGUUCAGCUACAAAGGCCCCAUCAACUUCUCAGAAACCCAACACAAUAAGUUCUUCAGCUAUGGAAGCCCUACCAACUCCUCAGAAACCCAACACAAUAAAUAUUUCAGCUACAAAGCUCCCAUCAACUCCUCAGAAACCUGACACAUUAAAUUCUUCAGCUACAGAAACCCUACCAACUUCUCAAAAUCUCAGCACAGUAAAUGUUUCAGCUACAAAGGCCCCAUCAACUUCUCAGAAACCCAACACAGUAAGUUCUUCAGCUAUGGAAGCCCUACCAACUCCUCAGAAACCCAACACAAUAAAUAUUUCAGCUACAAAGCUCCCAUCAACUCCUCAGAAACCUGACACAUUAAAUUCUUCAGCUACAGAAACCCUACCAACUUCUCAAAAUCCCAGCACAGUAAAUGUUUCAGCUAUAAAGGCCCCAUCAACUCCUCACAAACCCAACACAAUAAGUUCUUCAGCUACUAGAGCCCUACCAACUCCUGAGAAACCUACCACUGUAAAUGUUCCAGGUACAAAAGCCCUACCAACUCCUCAGAAAUCCACCAAAAUAAAUUCUUCAACUACAAAGUCCCAACCAACUCCUCAGAAACCUACCACAGCAAAUGAUUCAGCCACAGCCAAAAAAUUCCCUGUAUCAAAUGCUGUAUCUACAGAGACCCCACCGGCAGCCCAGAAGCCCAUCGUGGCAAAUGCGUCUGCUACACAGGCCAUACCAGCAACCCGUAGAUCCACCACAGCAAAAAUUUCAUUUACACAGAGUGUUCCAGCAACACAAAAGUCCACCGCUGUCCAUGCCCCAGCGACUAAGGGUUUCCAUACAACAAAAAGAUUGACCUCUGCUCAUAUUACAGCAAAACAGAGUUCAGCUGUUGUUCCCAGGGCAACCACGCACUUUCGCUCAACAAGCUCACAUAAAGGAAGAGGAACUCUUUCUUCAGAUGCUAACAUCGCUGCAAUUGCAUGCCCUGACACUGGCCAAAGACAGCAUGGCAUCUCCACAUGAGUUGAACGUAAGAGAGGACAUUGAAAGAAAGGGUCGUUGUUCUUAUGGAGCAACAGUCUGGAAAAUUCUGAGGGGGAGACAGAAGUGCUCAUCCCUGGAGAUCUGCCUUCGCACGGGCCAACAGAGGGUGUGGGUGAUGGUCCUGGGUGCCAUGGAUAGUGGCACGGAAGAUAAAGGACAUCUACUACCACUCUGACCAUCCUCAGGUGCCAUAUUCCAAAGGUGCCAGAGGUGGCCCACAGUUGAAACAAAGGGGUGAGAGCUGUCCCAGGGGCCCACAAGCAUAUUCGCCAGCCCCAGGGCUGGUGACGGUUGGUAGUCCAGAGCCCUAAACUAGAAGGAUGUAAAUAAUCUCCGGUAGAUCUAAUCCAAAAAUUAUACAAGCCCAAUUUCUUCAAUGCAGUAUUAUAAAAAGAAAUACGUGAGCUGUAUAGUUACAUACAAACUUUACCCAAAAUAAUCGGGCCUUUACUGAUUCAGGAGGAGCUGCAGAACCCGGUAGAGGCCCAGUGGUCACGUCACGGUGGGAGUGUCAAAUUACCGCUUGCAAAGUACCUGCUAUGGACUGUAUUGCGUCCCCUCCAAAUGUCAUAUGCUCAAUCCCCAACCCUCCAGUGUGGUGGUGUUUGGAGACCGGGCCUUUGGGAGGUAAUUAGGGUUAAAGAGGUCACAGGAAAGGGCCCUCAUGAUGGGACUGAUGGCCCUUAUAAGGAGAGACAGCAGAACGCAAGCACUCUCUCGCUCUGUCUCCCUCACUGACUGCCACCAAAUGAAGACACAGUGAGAGGGGCCAACUGCAAGCCAGGAAGAGAGCCCAACCAUGCUAGCGCUUUGAUUUUAGGCUUCCAGCUUCCAGAACAGUGAGAAAAUUAAUUUCUGCUGUGGGAGUCUACGGUAUUUUGUUAGGGCAACUCCAGCUACUAGGAUAGCUAAAUCUACUAUUCGCUCUCUAUUUUGUGUUUGUUUCUACAACACUAGAUAACUUUACUUUAGUUGUAUUUUAAAGGGACGUUUUAUAUAUCAAUUAUUUUUAAUUUUUUAAUGUUUAUUUCUUUUUGAGAGACACUGGAUCCUAAGCAGGCUCCAGGCUCUGAGCCGUCAGCACAGAGCCCGACGCGGGGCUCGAACUCAUGGACCGCGACAUCAUGAACUGAGCCGAAGUCGGACACCCAACCAACUGAGCCACCCAGAUUUUUCUGGGAACGCAAGCUGGUGCAGCCACUCUGGAAAACAGUAUGGAGGUUCUUCAAAAAACUAAAAAUAGAACUACCCUAUGACCCAACAAUUGCACUACUAGGCAUUUAUCCAAGGGAUACAGGAGUGCUGUUUCGAAGGGACUCAUGCACCCCCGUGUUUAUAGCAGCACUAUCAACAAUAGCCAAAGUAUGGAAAGUGCCCAAAUAUCCAUCAAUGGAUGAAUGGAUAGAGAAGAUGUGGUAUAUAUAUAUACAAUGGAGUAUUACUCGGCAAUCAAAAAAAAUGAAAUCUUGCCAUUUGCAACUACAUGGAUGGAACUGGAGGGUAUUAUGCUAAGUGAAAUUAGUCAGUCAGAGAAAGACAAAAGUCAUAUGACUUCACUCAUAUGAGGACUUUAAGAGAAAAAAACAGAUGAACAUAAGUGAAGGGAAACAAAAAUAAUAUAAAAAUAGGGAGGGGGACAAAACAGAAGAGACUCAUAAAUAUGGAGAACAAACUGAGGGUUACUGGAGGGGUUGUGGGAGGGGAGAUGGGCUAAAUGGGUAAGGGGCACUAAAGAAUCUCCUCCUGAAAUCACUGUUGCACUAUAUGCUAACUAAUUUGGAUGUAAAUUUAAAAAAAAAUUAAAAAUAAAAUUAAAAAAAAAGAACAUAGCACUCAAUAAAUAGUAGCUAUUAAAAAAAAGAAACAACAACUAAAAAACAAAUACAAACAUGGAUAAUAUUUUGAACAGGUCUUUCAAAAAGAGAAUACUCAAAUGGCUAAUAAAUAUUUUUUUAUUAAAAAAAACCCAAAAACCAAAAAAACCAAAACAAAGAAAAAAUUAGAUUUUUCUACACAGCUAAUGUUUAUUUUAUUUCUCCUCUCAUCAAAGCAUACUAUUAUAAUUAGCCACUGAUGUUAGAACAUUUGAACAAGUCAAUAUUUUUAUUUGGAAGGCAACAUUUUCAAAUAGAAAAAACAUUGUAAGGUGUCAUCCCCUGAAUAAUGAUUUCUUUAUCAUAUAUAAAUAAUUAUUGUCUUUGCACACAGUGACUAGAAGGCAGUUACCUCCAUUUUCUUCAAACUAGACAGGUUUGUGCUUGUUUUAUUAUUUUUGCUUUUCUUUCAGAAAUAGCACAUUUAAAACAUUAGGAAUAUUAUCUUGAUUUCUCAUGUUUUUUGAAUCCUUAGAGACUCUACUCCCAUUUAUAUAUCAUUUAGUGUCCUUUUUGUACUAACAUACCAUUGCAUUUGAAAAACAUUACUGUCUUUCUAUUAAAGAAUUAGGUACAUAAACUUUUCUUGAUCAGCGUUCUCUCCAUAGGACCUGGGUUAUAUUCAGAAUAUAUCAGGGUUGUCUUCAACAUGUCCAUUUCACUUCUCAAGAAAUAUGUGGAUUCUGAAAGCAAAGUGCUUCUAGAAGGCUGGAGAUCCUGUUUAGGACUUAGGGAUUUCACCCGGAUUUCCCAUUCCCUGUCUUUUAAUUCAUGGGCUUUCAUUCAGGGAAGAAACAACGGAUCAUCUUCAGUAGCAGAAUUUCAUCAAAUGCUUGGGCAAAAUGGAGGUUUUGGUCAUCCUUUUUGUCCAGAAAAGAAAAGAAAAGAAAAGAAAAAGGUAAAGAUAAAGAAAAAGAAAAGGAAAAGAAAAGAAAAUGGCGAACUAUGAACCAGGGCAGGGAGAGCCUCUGUUCAACCCAGAGGUGCCUGUCACUGCCCUGAGUGAGCUUCAGGGAACAAGACCAUCAUACAAUGUAUUUAUCCACCAGGGGAUGGUAUUUAUCCACCCUGUGUGUCCACAGAGCUCCAGAGCUCCACUGCUCCACUGCUGGGUUACCCAAUCACAGAAACAAACCUCCCUCUGCUGGACCCUCACUCAACUCGCCCAAAGAAAGCAACCUGUUUCCCGCCCUUAACCGGACUAGGGUUCUAACCAGUCCACUAGGUGAAGUAUCAAACCAGAAAUGGGGAAUUAAGGAGUUUAAUCAUCUUUUUUUUUUUUUACUUUUUUAUUUAUUUAUUUUUUCCUUUUUUUUUAAUAUAUGAAAUUUAUUGUCAAAUUGGUUUCCCUACAACACCGAGUGCUCAUCCCAAAAGAUGCUCUCAUCAAUACCCAUCACCUACCCUCCCCUCCCUCCCACCCCCCAUCAACCCUCAGUUUGUUCUCAGUUUUUAAGAGGUUAGAGUGGGAGAGAGCCAAAGCAUAAGAGACUCUUAAAAACGGAGUUUAAUCAUCUUUAAGCUGAAAGCCUUGCAGACAGCCUCAUGUCAUUAAAAACAAAACAAAACAAAAAGGUCUGAAUCCUGUGGAUCCAACCUCAGUAAUAACCAGCGGCUGGGACAGAUGGCAGAAGACAGUCUUCCCUCUGCGUUCCAGAUGGAGACUAAUCUUACCUCUGUUAGCAUGCACUCUGCCUUAGCUGAGUCAUUCAAUCCCCAAACAGUUAUUAAUUCAAAAGAGACAAGGAUUCUUAACUCUCUGUUUGAAUAAAGAAUCCAGCAAGACUGUG